GGUAACUUUGCUACCAUAUGUAAAAUUUGAACCAUCAAUGGCACCAUUUUCUGGAGCAGCUGGGAUACCACAAGAAACAGCUUGAAGAAAACAAAUUAAAAAAGUCACCCUGAUGAAUGAAUGGGUAGUACAAGGACAAAUCUUCUCUUAUACUGUCAUGGCAACAGAAAAAUUGAGGUCCAGUGAGGUACAGGAAGCCUUGUAUGACAGAAGCUUGAAGAAAACAAUACCUUCACAGUAUGGUAUCAGGUGGCUCCAUUCCCCAGACUCCAAACAUGUGACCCUAUUCGCUCCUUUCAGCUGGUAGCCCUUUUCACAUGAGAAACUGACUUCGCUACCAACACUGAAGCUGUCGCUGUGUAAAUGGCCAUUUUCAGGAUCUCCUGGAUGUUUGCAUUUUACUGGUUCUUUGGAAUCAGACACAAGGUAAAACAGAGCUUACUGACAUCAGGUGUAGCUCAUGCGCUUAAAAAUGAAAACAAAUCAUGUAACAUUUAAGCAAGCAACUUUGGAGGGGGAAAGGACCAGUCACAAGAGCAUGGGAUUGUGCAUUUAAGACACUUUAAAAACAUUUUCAACCCCAUUUACUUUGUAGGGAUUUCACUGAUACUGCAUUUGGGCCGCUGCACCAAUGCACUUUUGUUUAUCAGGUCUGAUAACAUUUUAUAGACAUUUGCUUCCUCUAAUAUUUCAUAUACAUUUUCUUCCUUCUUCUUAUGCAGAGUGCAGUGUUGUCUGCUGUGCAAUGUACUUGAAUAGAGCCUGGC